GUGGGAUCGAUCAAGAGCAGGAGGGGGCAAGACCAAACCCUAACUUCACAAAUCCUCCAAAAACAGAAGGGAAUUUAGAGUUUUAGUGAAUGCAUGAGCCCUAAUUCGAGUAAUCUAAGCUUGUCCAACCCUUGGCGUUAAGGAAGAAAGUUCAAGUCAAGGGAAGCCGCAAGGGAAUCAAGACCGAGGUAAAUCUCAUGUCUAGUUAUCAAGCUUGCCCGGAUCGAACACACCUCAAGCCCGUCAAGCGCUCUGCAUUUUGUAUAAGUCGAUGUCAAAUUACCUAGUUACUUAUGUUUAUGCUUUGUACUUAAACUAGUUUGGUCAUGGUUGUCUUUUGAAAAGUUGUCGUAGGUGCGUACAUACUUAAUGGUUUUCGAAACUAAGGAUAGGUCAUCUUUUGUUGUGUAUGUCAUGUCUUCGAAUGUUUGCGUAUAGUUGAAUGAAGUUUGUUUAUGA
rnacentral:lncRNA from 1 species